rnacentral:rRNA from 1 species
AUUGAACGCUGGCGGCAUGCUUUACACAUGCAAGUCGAACGGCAGCGCGGGCUUCGGCCUGGCGGCGAGUGGCGAACGGGUGAGUAAUACAUCGGAAAGCGCCCAGUAGUGGGGGAUAGCUCGGCGAAAGCCGGAUUAAUACCGCAUACGACCUGAGGGUGAAAGCGGGGGAUCUUCGGACCUCGCGCUAUUGGAGCGGCCGAUGGCAGAUUAGCUAGUUGGUGGGGUAAAGGCCUACCAAGGCGACGAUCUGUAGCUGGUCUGAGAGGGCGACCAGCCACACUGGGACUGAGACACGGCCCAGACUCCUACGGGAGGCAGCAGUGGGGAAUUUUGGACAAUGGGCGAAAGCCUGAUCCAGCAAUGCCGCGUGUGUGAAGAAGGCCUUCGGGUUGUAAAGCACUUUUGGCGGGAACGAAAAGGACUGUGCCAAUACCACGGUUCGAUGACGGUACCCGCAGAAUAAGCACCGGCUAACUACGUG